rnacentral:rRNA from 1 species
UACGUAGGGGGCAAGCGUUGUCCGGAUUUAUUGGGCGUAAAGCGCACGUAGGCGGCUCUGCAAGUCGGAUGUGAAAUCCCUCGGCUCAACCAAGGAAGUGCAUCCGAAACUGCGGAGCUUGAGUACUUAAGAGGAUCGCGGAAUUCCCGGUGUAGAGGUGAAAUUCGUAGAUAUCGGGAGGAACACCAGUGGCGAAGGCGGCGAUCUGGGAAGAUACUGACGCUGAGGUGCGAAAGCGUGGGGAGCAAACAGG